GGAUGUGAGGACCAUCAGGCUGUGACAUCUGCCACCCCAUUCAUUGCCAGGAUUGAUUCUGCUGGUCUGGCUAACUAGGCGGGUGUCCCCUUCCUCCCUCACCUCUCCACGUGCGUCCCUCCCGAAGCUACAAGCUCGAUCAAAGAGAAUGGAUGACCUUCCUUGAAUAGAGACCCACCGGUCUUCGGCAGAGAGUAUAGAGUAGUUGUGCUUCCCUGCUAGAACCUCCAAACAAGCUCUCAAGGUCCAGACUCGCCUAGCUUGCCACUGCUUCCUGGUAUUUUGGGCCUUCGAAAGCAGACCUGCAACUUAGCUUUUUAAA
ensembl:misc_RNA 7SK 7SK RNA